UCUGGUACCUUCGGUGCCCGAGUUGUAAUUUGGAGAGGGCAACUUUGGGGCCGUUCCUUGUCUAUGUUCCUUGGAACAGGACGUCAUAGAGGGUGAGAAUCCCGUGUGGCGAGGAGUGCGGUUCUUUGUAAAGUGCCUUCGAAGAGUCGAGUUGUUUGGGAAUGCAGCUCUAAGUGGGUGGUAAAUUCCAUCUAAAGCUAAAUAUUGGCGAGAGACCGAUAGCGAACAAGUACAGUGAUGGAAAGAUGAAAAGAACUUUGAAAAGAGAGUGAAAAAGUACGUGAAAUUGUUGAAAGGGAAGGGCAUUUGAUCAGACAUGGUGUUUUGUGCCCUCUGCUCCUUGUGGGUAGGGGAAUCUCGCAUUUCACUGGGCCAGCAUCAGUUUUGGUGGCAGGAUAAAUCCAUAGGAAUGUAGCUUGCCUCGGUAAGUAUUAUAGCCUGUGGGAAUACUGCCAGCUGGGACUGAGGACUGCGACGUAAGUCAAGGAUGCUGGCAUAAUGGUUAUAUGCCGCCCGUCUUA
rnacentral:rRNA from 1 species